rnacentral:rRNA from 1 species
UACGUAGGGUGCGGGCGUUAAUCGGAAUUACUGGGCGUAAAGCGUGCGCAGGCGGUUUUGUAAGCCAGAUGUGAAAUCCCCGGGCUUAACCUGGGAAUGGCAUUUGGGACUGCAAGGCUGGAGUGUGGCAGAGGAGACUGGAAUUCCUGGUGUAGCAGUGAAAUGCGUAGAUAUCAGGAGGAAUACCGAUGGCGAAGGCAGGUCUCUGGGCUGACACUGACGCUCAUGCACGAAAGCGUGGGGAGCAAACAGG